AUUGCUGUUUGGCCUUUUGGUUAAGAUCAAGUGUA
rnacentral:snRNA from 1 species